rnacentral:rRNA from 1 species
GCGCACGCAGGCGGUCUGUCAAGUCGGAUGUGAAAUCCCCGGGCUCAACCUGGGAACUGCAUUCGAAACUGGCAGGCUAGAGUCUUGUAGAGGGGGGUAGAAUUCCAGGUGUAGCGGUGAAAUGCGUAGAGAUCUGGAGGAAUACCGGUGGCGAAGGCGGCCCCCUGGACAAAGACUGACGCUCAGGUGCGAAAGCGUGGGGAGCAAACAGGAUUAGAUACCCUGGUAGUCCACGCCGUAAACGAUGUCGACUUGGAGGUUGUGCCCUUGAGGCGUGGCUUCCGGAGCUAACGCGUUAAGUCGACCGCCUGGGGAGUACGGCCGCAAGGUUAAAACUCAAAUGAAUUGACGGGGGCCCGCACAAGCGGUGGAGCAUGUGGUUUAAUUCGAUGCAACGCGAAGAACCUUACCUACUCUUGACAUCCAGAGAACUUUGCAGAGAUGGAUUGGUGCCUUCGGGAACUCUGAGACAGGUGCUGCAUGGCUGUCGUCAGCUCGUGUUGUGAAAUGUUGGGUUAAGUCCCGCAACGAGCGCAACCCUUAUCCUUUGUUGCCAGCGGUUAGGCCGGUAACU